rnacentral:lncRNA from 1 species
AUCAAAGUAAAUUAGAAGGAGAAGAAACAUUUAACAAAAGAAAAGAACUUUUAUUCAACCAUAUCCAAACCCAUAUAAGGUUGUGAAAGAAAAAAAAUCAUAUCAAGCCAAAAUCACACGAUAAUGAUAUGUUAGAAAUGUCACAGAAAAUUGAGAAAACAGCCAGGCAAGUAAAUAGGAACAAAAAGUUAUGAUCACUCCAAUAGCUUGCCGGGUAAAUUAGUCAAAGCUUUGAACGCGUGUUUUUUGUUCCAUUCAGGAACUUUGCUAAGCUUGGGUUAAUUUUUUGCAAUGUUCCAGCAAUUUGUUGCGUUACAGAAGUUGUACUUGAAUUGAACCAAUAUUUGGGUUUGGGGUCAACCCCCCCUCACUUUCUCCAUUCUUUCUUGGAAGCCCAAUUCUAUACUAUUCUUCACUCUAGCUAACGUCUUACCAAACAAUACAACACAUACAUACAUUGCAUUUAAG